CUUCUAGUUCUCAUUUGAUCCCUGAAGUUAAGCAAUGUCAAGCUUGGGCAGUACUUAGAUGGUGGACCACUUGGGAAUACCAAGUACUGU